GAUGAACGCUAGCGGAAGGCAUAAUACAUGCAAGUCGAACGGAUGUAGCAAUACAUUAGUGGCGCACGGGUGCGUAACGCGUAUGCAACCUACCUUCAUCAGGGGGAUAACUACCCGAAAGGGUGGCUAACACCGCAUAAUACUAUUGAGUGGUAUCACUUGAUUUUUAAAUCUGAGGAGGAUGAAGAUGGGCAUGCGUCUGAUUAGCUAGUUGGUGUGGUAACGGCGCACCAAGGCGACGAUCAGUAGGGGAACUGGGAGGUUGGUCCCCCACACUGGCACUGAGAUACGGGCCAGACUCCUACGGGAGGCAGCAGUAAGGAAUAUUGGUCAAUGGUGGGAACACUGAACCAGCCAGUCCGCGUGCAGGAAGAAGGGUCUCUGACUUGUAAACUGCUUUAGCAAGGGAAGAAAAAGCUCAUGCGUGAGAAAUUGACGGUACCUUGAGAAUAAGCACCGGCUAACUACGUGCCAGCCGCCGCCGUAACAC
rnacentral:rRNA from 1 species